rnacentral:lncRNA from 1 species
GUUUUCGACGACAUACCAUAGGUCGACGUCAAUGGCUUCAAGAUGCAUGCGCAUCUUAUUCUUCCAGUAGGGAUAUUCAGUUCCAUCGAAGACGGGGCAUGCAGCGGAGACUUUAAUUAUCCCUGCAGUCGACAUAGCUAAAACUCCAGGUGGUUAAACUGAAUCACACAAAACAAGGGAGCACCUUGCUCUGAUACCAAUUGAAAGUGCAUUAUAUCGACUAGAGGGGGGUGAAUAGGCGAUAUUUAUGAAAGUCUUCAAAACAUGGAAGUUAUGAAGUCAAACGAUAGAAAUAAACCUAUUACCAUGCAGCGGAAGGUAGACUACACUAGGCAAGCCAUAGUCAAGUAUUCAAUAGAGUGAAAGCACAAUGACUUAAUAGCAGCAAUGUAGUAAGGAUCAGGUAGGAAGAUGUUGUGAAGCCAAACAGAACACGCAGUCACUUAGUGAAGACAAAAGAUAGUGCAAACAUACAAUGACUUCACAAGGAGUAACAGUAAGUAAAGGGAAGGGAAGAUGAAACCAGUGACUCGUUGAAAACAAUGAUUUGUUGGACCAGUUCCAGUUGCUGUGACAACUGUACGUCUGGUUGGAGCGGCUAGGUAUUUAAACCUUAGGACACACGGUCCCGGACACCCAGUCAUGAACACGCAGCUCAGGACACCCAGUCCUCACCGUAUUCUCCUUGAGCUAAGGUCACACAGACCUCGCCCAAUCACUCUGGUAAGUCUUCAAGGUAGACUCCCAAACCUUCACAUACUUCGUUCACCGGCAAUCCACAAUGUCUCUUGGAUGCUCAGAACGCGACGCCUAACCGGCUGGAGGAUGCACAGUCCUCAAGUGUAAUAAGUCAUCAGAUCACACAGACAAGAAGACUUAAGUGAUGCCCAAUUCUCUUUGGCUCUGGGUGGUUAGGGCUUUAUCCUCGCAAGGAAUUCUCUCUCAAAGGCUUCGAGGUGGGUUGCUCUCAAACGACAAAAGUCGUACUCUCAAUCUAAGUAGCCAACCGUUUAUGGUUGUAGGGGGUGGGCUAUUUAUAGCCACUUGGCAACCCGACCUGAUUUGUCCGAAAUGACCCUGGGUCACUAAGGAACUGACACGUGAUUUCAAACUCACACGGCAACUUUACUUGGGCUACAAGUAAAGCUGACUUGUCCGACUCUAGACAAGAUUCACUCUCAUAGUCUUCACUCGAAGACAUAGGUUUAUGUUUAGGCAUCACUUAAGUCAUUCUGAAUGGUUCUCUUGGACCCCACUUAACAGUACGGUGGUUCCUAUGACUCAACACAAAAGAAAAAGAACUACGAAAGAUCUAAGUCUUCGAGCUCCAUAGGCUUCAUGUGGUGUCUUCUCUUGUCAUAGUCUUCAAUGUGAAUAUCUUCAUAUACCACCUUUGACUUCAAUGUCUUCAUACAUUUUAGGGGUCAUCUCUGGUAGGAAAAUCGAAUCAAUGAGGGACUUCUACCUGUGUUAUCCUGCAAUUCUCACAAACACAUUAGUCCCUCAACUAGGUUUGCCGUCAAUACUCCAAAACCAACUAGGGGUGGCACUAGAUGCACUUACAGAACGAACCGAUGACAUUGGGUUCUGCAUCACGUGUGCCGUCAGUACAGGGAGCAGAGGGACCAGGGUUGAAGUCUAGUCCCAAAGACUUCUUGUUCUGCUUUGCUGAGUUCUUGGCAAACUGGAAGUUGCGCUUGAACAAAUUGUCGUCACGACACCAUAGUAGUGACGAUGGGUGUGCAUCUGCAGGCUGUGGUCCACGGACCAUGCAGGGAUAGAAGCCUUGUUCAAUGGCUUCAGCUCUGGACCUGGGUUGAAGAUUUUUGUAUAGGAUGUCUCCCCAAGGUCGCUUGAUGGCAUUUUUCUCAGCAUAUUCAUGGGUCACAAACCGGUAUUUGAACCAUUGUUCUGCCCAAUAUCUUCGAAUCCAUUGGAUUCGGGUCUUGCGCUGAUUGUAAUCCUCUUUAGGAUCUGUCUUGUAAAGAUCUGAGAGGUCAUCAGGCAAAUCUCUUGAUGUUCCCCCACGAUGCUGUCUGCCUCCCUUCCUUGCAGAUAUCUCUGUAGCCAUGAACUUUAAACUGAAUGGCUUCAACACGUUCAAAGGCUUCAGAGGCUUUCGCUUGCUGGACAAACAAGAACUGGCUUCGGGAGAAUUUAUAUGAUGCUGUAAGAAUUCUGCAAAUGAAUGCAGACUAUGAGAACCAAGGGAUUCUCCCACGGACAUGUACCUGUGACAGCAUUAAGGUGCGAGGGAAGGGGAAGAGGUCAUAUGCAUUCUCAGAACAUUUUGAAGAUAAAUCAGUUUAGAAGACAUUGACCUCAUCGUGCGAAGACAUUCACUCAUAGAUAAGGAGUUGGUUCCAGAUUUGUACGAAUCCAGAGAUCAGUACAAGUGAGGAAUCUAACUACUUUGUGAAGCAUAAGUGAACAUACUAGGCAUAAUAUGAGAUGCAGUAUGAAGUGGAUCCAACAUGUGUGAACAGAAACUACUUGUGGUAGAAAGUGACGAAUCUGUAGGAUCAAAGGGGCCGUAAAAAGGAGGUUUUUAUUUACCACACAAGGAACUGCUAGACGGAGUGGAAGAGGAGGGCGAGCAGUUCGAUCGUCCGUGCCCUAACUUGGCGACGGAGGACACCUACGGCGACGGCGGAAAGGACGAUGUCCGCGGUCGGCGUGAAGACGGCGUCAGAGAGGUUGCGGCAGCUAAGCGCUUCGUCGCCGGCGUCAUCGAGGGCUAGCGGUGGCGCUAGGGUUCAUGCGAGAGUGGAAGAAGAGAUAAUGACUAUGGUGAGGCGUGUAUUUAUAGGGACAGGGGCGGCUCAGUGUUAUUAUACAGGUGCCCCUGGCGAUUUACAUCUGAGGAACACGUGGCCAUCAUGCAGCAUAUCGGAGGUUGUUCCACGUCCCACGCACGCCUGGAUUGUCGGGUGGUCGUUCCCACUUCUUCGGGUUUCAGGUGAAGGAAUUAGCAUUGAAAGCGGACUUAAUGUUUGUCUCUGUAUCUUCUGCUGACAAGGACGCAGAGAAGACAUUUGACAGUUUCAAGAGAAUGCAUAUGAUUUGGAGAGUUAGAGUUUGAGAUAGAAAGCAUAGAGAGGUUAGGGUCCGAUCACAUUCACUUAGUUCAAAAGAUUCAACAAGAAGACAUAGCUAUAAGUGAAUGUUGUAGAGGACAGAACACUAGUAUAUAUAUAUAUAUAUAAACAACAUAGUGAAGAUAAUCAUGAAGACAUGUUGAGAUUGAAGCCAAACCGAAUAUGAAGACAUAGCAAAUGUAACACCGUGAGUGAAACACUUCAAACAGAACAUUUGGUGGUGGCGUUACCCACCGUAUAGGAAGUGUUAGACCCAGACACGCCGCACAAUUAUCGUGGCGCUCCGAGGUCAAAUUCCUCAUUAAUGUAUUCACACUUAGAAUGCAUGUCUUCAUUGAUUGAAGAUAUACUUUGCUUCGUGUGUUGCACAUCUAAGUCAUCAAUAUGCAUAAGUGUUAGGACGUGUGCCUGAUCACAGGACAUUUGAGGAUUCCAAGAUAUUUAGCUCACACCGUAACUUGCAAAAUCUCUUCUAAUCCAAGGGCAUGGUGAAGAUAUCUGCCAAUUGCUCUUCAGUGUUGACGUGUAUGAUAUCAAUAUCUUCCUUCACAACAUGAUCUCUGAGAAAGUGAUGACGAAUCUCAAUGUGCUUUGUCUUCGAGUGCUGAACUGGGUUGUUGGCAAUCUUGAUGGCGCUUUCAUUGUCGCAGUAGAGUGGCACUUGCUUCAGAUGAAUGCCAUAGUCUUUGAGUGUUUGCUUCAUCCACAGAAGCUGAGCGCAGCAAGAUCCAGCAGCAAUGUAUUCAGAUUCAGCAGUGGAGAGAGAUACACAGUUCUGCUUCUUUGAAGACCAACAUACAAGUGAUCGUCCUAGAAAAUGACAUGUGCCUGAUGUAGACUUGCAAUCAACCUUGUCACCAGCAUAAUCAGCAUCCGAGAAUCCAACUAGAUCAAACUCUGAGCCCUUUGGAUACCAUAAUCCUAGAGUUGGGGUGUAAGCCAAAUAUCAAAGAAUUUGCUUCACAACUAAGUGAUGCGAUUCCUUUGGUGCCGCUUGGAAUCGAGCACACAUGCAAACACCAAGCAUAAUAUAUGGCCUAGAUGCACAUAGAAAAAGUAAAGAACCAAUCAUGGAGCGGUAUACCUUUUGAUCAAACUCUUUACCAUUGUCGUCGGGACCCAGAUGAUGUUUGGCUGGCAUUGGCGUCGUGAAGCCUUUGCAGUCUUGCAUACCGAACUUCUUCAGGCAAUAUUUGAGAUACUUCUCUUGAGAUAUAAAGAUGUCGUUGCGUUGCUGUCGUAUUUGAAGACCAAGGAAGAACUUCGGCUCUCCCAUCAUGGACAUCUGGUAUUGCUCUUGCAUCAUAUAUCCAAACUCUUCACUGUAUUUCUGUUUGGUGCAGCCGAAGAUAAUGUCAUCCACAUAUAUUUGGCACACAAAUAGUUCACCAUAAUAUGUCUUCGUGAAGAGAGUGGGGUCGAGGGAACCAGGUGUGAAGCCUUUGCUUUUCAGGAAGUAUUUGAGUGUGUCAUACCAAGCCCGAGGGGCUUGUUUGAGGCCAUACAGUGCCUUGUUGAGUUUGUAUACCAUGUCAGGAUGCUUUGGAUCUUCAAAGCCAGGCGGUUGUGCAACAUACACUUCUUCUUCAAUCUUGCCAUUGAGAAAAGCGCUCUUCACAUCCAUUUGAUAUAGAAGUAUGUUAUGAUGAUUUGCAUAGGCCAGCAGUAUGCGUAUGGCUUCAAGUCGAGCCACGGGAGCAAAUGUUUCAUCGAAGUCAAUCCCUUCCACUUGAGUAUAUCCUUGAGCAACGAGACGAGCUUUGUUUCUGACAACUUGACCAUGCUCAUCUUGCUUGUUGCGGUAUAUCCAUUUGGUGCCUAUUAUAUUGUGCUUCCGAGGAUCAGGAUGCUUAACCAGUUCCCAUACAUUAUUCAGCUCAAACUAUUGAAGCUCUUCUUGCAUAGCUUGAAUCCAUUCAGGUUCCAUGAAGGCUUCUUCAACUUUCUUGGGUUCUGUUAUUGAGACGAAUGCGAAGUGCCCACGGAAAUUUGCUAGCUGUGUUGCCCUUGAACGAGUGAGCGGACCGGGUGCAUUGAUGCUAUCAAUUAUUCUCUCAAUUUGCACUUCAUUGGCAACACGAGGAUGUACAGGGCGAAGAUUUUGCUCUUGCUGAUCAUUCUCAUUGUUAGAGGGAUUGUCUUUAGGCUGAGCAUUGUCUUCAGGUUGAUCAGGUGCGGAGAUGAUAAGUUCCUCUUCAGGUUGAGCUUCAGAGGGUAUGAUUUCUAUAGUUCCCAUAAGUUUGAUUGAUUCACUGGAUGGAACUUCAUCUAGCACAUUUGGCAGGUGCUCUCUUUGUGAAUCGUUAGUCUCAUCGAACCGCACAUCCACUGUUUCAACCACUUUAUAAUGAAAGAGAUUGAAGACUCUGUAGGAGUGUGAAUCCUUUCCAUAUCCAAGCAUAAAAUCCUCAUGUGCUUUUGGUGCAAAUUUUGAAGUGUGAUGUGGAUCCUUGAUCCAGCACCUGGCGCCAAAUACUCUGAAGUAACUGACAUUUGGCUUCUUGCCAGUAAGGAGCUCAUAAGAUGUCUUGUUCAGAAGCUUGUGAAGAUAAACACGGUUGAUUGUAUGGCAUGCAGUAUCAAUGGCUUUAGGCCAGAAUUUUCUUGGAGUCUUGUAUUCAUCAAGCAUCGUUUGGGCCAUCUUAAUGAGUGUUCUGUUCUUGCGUUCGACGACGCCAUUCUGCUGUGGCGUGUAUGGAGCUGAGAAUUCAUGUGUGAUGUCCAAAGUAUCAAGAUAUGUAUCAAGGCCAGUGUUCUUGAAUUCAGUGCCAUUGUCACUUCUGAUGUGCUUUAUCUUGGUGCCAUAGUUGUUCAUUGCUCAAUUGGCGAAGCGUCUGAAGACAUCCUGCACUUCAGUCUUGUAGAGGAUUAUGUGCACCCAAGUAUAUCUAGAAUAAUCAUCAACAAUGACAAAGCCAUAGAGACAAGCAGUAGUAGUAAGAGUUGAGUAAUGAGUGGGACCGAAAAGAUCCAUGUGGAGCAGUCCGAAGGGUCGAGUUGUUGUCAUGAUUGUCUUUGAGGGAUGCUUGGCCCUCGUCAUCUUUCCUGCUUCACAGGCACCGCAUAAGUGAUCUUUCUUGAACUUGACGCCCUUGAUGCCUAUGACAUGCUUCUUCUUUGCAAGGGUGUGGAGGUUCCUCAUGCCAGCAUGCCCUAGCCUCCGAUGCCAGAGCCAACAUUCUGAAGCUUUUGCCAGAAGACAUACGGCAAGCUGUGGUCCUGCUGAGAAAUCUACCACGUACAAAUCACCUUUCCUAUACCCUUCAAACACUAGAGACUUGUCAGAUUCCAUUAGAACAAGGCAACGAUAUUUUCCAAACAUCACGAUCAUGUUUAAAUCGCAAAGCAUUGAGACAGACAUUAAGUUGAAACCAAGGGAUUCAACAAGCAUGACUUUAUCCAUGUGUUGAUCCUUUGAGAUUGCAACUCUACCUAGACCCAAUACCUUACUUUUACCAGUGUCACCAAAUGUGAUGUGACUCUUGUCGGAUCGAUGUAAGGUUGAGUCCAUAAGAAGGCUUCUCUUGCCAGUCAUGUGAUUGGUACACCCACUAUCAAUAAUCCAUUCUAAAGCUGCUGGUGUCGUACCCUACAGUGCAGUUAGGGGGAUAGGCUUCAUGAAGAGAAUUGUGAAGCAAAAACAUUUGACGAACCAGUGGGUUAUGAAAGCUUAGAUCGAGAUUUGGACUGAUAGGGCGAGUAGCAAACGAUUCAGGAACAAAGUACAUAAUAAGACCAUUCGGGCAUUUGAUCUUGCGCCCUACAAGAUGUUUAAGGUCCCCAGCAAUAGCGUCAGACGAUUUUGGUUUUCUGCUGGAGACCCUUCCCUGCAAAAGAGAGUUAAGCUUUCUUAGCCACCCACAUCUUCAAGGGUGGCUUAGAAGCAAUAAGUCUAAGUGCAGCAUCUGAGAACUUUGGCUUUGGAGCCCUAGCAAAAAGUCUUGCAGGAGGACAAUAGUACUCAUAAGAAUAAGCAGAAUAGUUCUUGGUCUUAUGAACAUGGCGGUUUGAUGAACCGCGCUCAUAUUCAUAGGCCUGAGUAUGGCUUCCCUGCAAAACAUUUGCGUUAGUGCGACUCAGGUGAGUCCUCUGUCUGUAUGAAGCCUUUGGACCGUAUGAAGCCUGUGGUCUGGGGUUUAUCUUCUUCACCUGUUGUGUCAUGAUGACAUUCACGGGAAGAUUCUCCAAACACCUUUUCGGCACCCAGAUCUUCUUCAUAGGCGGUCCAUUCCUGCAGUUAGUACCAAUAUACCUGGCAAAUACUUCACCAUUUUGAUUCUUAAACAGUUUAUAGUUUGCAUCAAAGGAUUCAUCAAUAACGAUGGGAUUAGCACAAGUGAAGCCAGAUAGGGUGGAUGGAUCCGCUGAGGGUUCCUUUGCAGCAACCCAUGUGGUUUUGGGGUACUGCUCAGGUUUCCAGUAAGAGCCAUCAGCAUUCAUUUUCCUUUUGAACCCAACACCCUCUUUCCUAGGGUUUUGGUUCAGGAUCUGCCUUUUGAGGACAUCACAUAGUGUCUGAUGCCCUUUGAGACUUUUGUACAUCCCUGUUUCAAGCAGUGUCUUCAACCUAGCAUUCUCAUCAGCAAUAGCAGUGGUAUCCUCAGCGGAGGGGUUAGUUACCACAUCAAUAGUUGAAGAUAUUGCAAUAGUAGCAGCAGCAGAACAUUCAACAACAGAGGUAGCGUUAUCACGCUCAAUGCAUUUAAGACAUGGUGGUUCAAAUCCUUCCUGAGCGGAACUGAUUUGUUUGGUGCGAAGUGACUCAUUUUCCUUUUGAAGAUCUUCAUGAGCCGCUCUCAAUUUCUCAAGAUCUUGCUUCCUUUGAAGAUAAUCAUAGGAAAGCCUUUCAUGAGUUGUUGAGAGCGUUUCAUGACGACUUUCAAGUUCCUCAAACUUAACAUGAAGAUUUUUUAUGUCUUCAAUUAAGGACUGAGAUCGAGUCAUUUCAGCGUCUAGCAGAUCAUCGCUUUUGUCUAACAAUUUUUGAAUAUGUUCCAUAGCUUUCUGUUGUUUAGUUGCAAUUUUAGCAAGUGUUUUGUAGCUGGGUUUGGAAUCACAAUCAGAGUCAUCUUCACUAGAUGUUUGAUAGUGAGUAGUGUGUGUGUUUACCUUGGCACUGCGUGCCAUGAAGCAGUAGGUAGGAGCGGAGUAGUCCUUGUCAUUUGCAUCGGUGUCGGUGAUGAAGUUGUUGUCUUCAGUGUUGAAGAUGGACUUGGCAAUGUAUGUUGUAGCCAGACUCGCAACGCCAGAAUCGGACUCCUCCUCAGACUCCACCUCCGCCUUCUCAGAAGCAGACUCCUCCUCUGAAUCCAUUUCCUUGCCAACAAACACACGUGCCUUGCCAGAUGAGCUCUUCUUGUGUGAUGAAGACUUGGAGGAAGACUUGGAAGAAGACUUUGAGUAUUUCUUCUUGUUGUUGUUGUCGGAGUGAUACUCCUUGCUCUUCUUCUUCUUGUUGUUCUCAUUGUCCCACUGCGGACACUCAGAGAUGUAGUGGCCAGGUUUCUUCCACUUGUGGCAUGAUCUUUUCUUGUAGUCAUAAGUAGAAGCUUCAUCAUUCCUUGAGCUUGAUCGUGAAGACUUUCUGAAGCCUUUCUUCUUGGUGAAUUUUUGGAACUUCUUCACAAGCAUAGCAAGCUCCUUUCCAAUGUCUUCAGGAUCAUCAGAACUUCUGUCGGAUUCUUCUUCAGAUGUGGAGACAACUUUUGCCUUCAAGGCACGAGUUCGCCCAUAGUUGGGACCGUAGAUGUCUCUUUUCUCAGAAAGCUGAAACUCGUGUGUGUUGAGCCUCUCAAGUAUGUCAGACAGAUCGAGUGUCUUGAAGUCAGGACGUUCUUCAAUCAUCAGGGCUAGGGUGUCAAACGAGCUGUCAAGUGAUCUCAGGAGUGUCUUGACGACUUCAUGCUUGGUGAUCUCAGUGGCGCCGAGAGCUUGAAGCUCAUUUGUGAUAUCAGUGAGUCGAUCAAAUGUGAGCUGGACAUUCUCAUUGUCAUUUCUCUUGAAGCAGUUGAAGAGGUUGCGAAGGACGCUGAUUCUCUGAUCUCUCUAGGUUGAGACGCCUUCAUUGACCUUGGAGAGCCAGUCUCAUACUAGCUUAGAUAUUUCCAAAGCACUUACACGGCCAUACUGUCCUUUGGUCAGAUGACCAUAGAUGAUGUUCUUGGCAGUGGAGUCCAGUUGAACGAACUUCUUGACAUCAGCAGCGGUGACACCUUCACCAGCCUUAGGAACGCCAUUCUUGACGACAUACCAUAGGUCGACAUCAAUGGCUUCAAGAUGCAUGCGCAUCUUAUUCUUCCAGUAGGGAUAUUCAGUUCCAUCGAAGACGGGACAUGCAGCGGAGACUUUAAUUAUCCCUGUAGUUGACAUAGCUAAAACUCCAGGUGGUUAAACCGAAUCACAUAAAACAAGGGAGUACCUUGCUCUGAUACCAAUUGAAAGUGCGUUAUAUCGACUAGAGGGGGG